rnacentral:rRNA from 1 species
UUAAGCGACUAAGCGUACACGGUGGAUGCCCGGCAGUCAGAGGCGAUGAAGGACGUGCUAAUCUGCGAAAAGCGACGGCGAGGUGAUAUGAACCUUUGACCCGUCGAUGUCCGAAUGGGGAAACCCAGUGUGUUUCGACACACUAUCGUUAACUGAAUACAUAGGUUAACGAGGCGAACCGGGGAACUGAAACAUCUAAGUACCCCGAGGAAAAGAAAUCAACCGAGAUUCCCCAGUAGCGGCGAGCGAACGGGGAGCAGCCCGAGUCUGAAUCAGCUUGUGUGUUAGUGGAAGCGUCUGGAAAGUCGCACGGUACAGGGUGACAGUCCCGUACACGAAAACACAGGUUGUGAACUCGAAGAGUAGGGCGGGACACGUGGUAUCCUGUCUGAAUAUGGGGACCAUCCUCCAAGGCUAAAUACUCCUGACUGACCGAUAGUGAACCAGUACCGUGAGGGAAAGGCGAAAAGAACCCCGGCGAGGGAGUGAAAAGAACCUGAAACCGUGUACGUACAAGCAGUGGGAGCACCUUCGGGUGUGACUGCGUACCUUUGUAUAAUGGGUCAGCGACUUAUAUUCUGUAGCAAGGUUAACCGUAUAGGGAGCCGCAGGAAACCGAGUCUUAACUGGGCGUUAAGUUGCAGGGUAUAGACCCGAAACCCGGUGAUCUAGCCAUGGGCAGGUUGAAGGUUGGGUAACACUAACUGGAGGACCGAACCGACUAAUGUUGAAAAAUUAGCGGAUGACCUGUGGCUGGGGUGAAAGGCCAAUCAAACCGGGAGAUAGCUGGUUCUCCCCGAAAGCUAUUUAGGUAGCGCCUCGUGAACUCAUCUUCGGGGUAGAGCACUGUUUCGGCUAGGGGCCAUCCCGGCUUACCAACCCGAUGCAAACUACGAAUACCGAAGAAUGUUAUCACGGGAGACACACGGCGGGUGCUAACGUCCGUCGUGAAGAGGAAACAACCCAGACCGCCAGCUAAGGUCCCAAAGUCAUGGUUAAGUGGGAAACGAUGUGGGAAGGCACAGACAGCCGGAUGUUGGCUUAGAAGCAGCCAUCAUUUAAAGAAAGCGUAAUAGCUCACUGGUCGAGUCGGCCUGCGCGGAAGAUGUAACGGGGCUAAACCAUGCACCGAAGCUGCGGCAGCGACGCUUAUGCGUUGUUGGGUAGGGGAGCGUUCUGUAAGCCGUCGAAGGUGUGCUGUGAGGCAUGCUGGAGGUAUCAGAAGUGCGAAUGCUGACAUAAGUAACGAUAAAGCGGGUGAAAAGCCCGCUCGCCGGAAGACCAAGGGUUCCUGUCCAACGUUAAUCGGGGCAGGGUGAGUCGACCCUAAGGCGAGGCCGAAAGGCGUAGUCGAUGGGAAACAGGUUAAUAUUCCUGUACUUGGUGUUACUGCGAAGGGGGACGGAGAAGGCUAUGUCAGCCGGGCGACGGUUGUCCCGGUUUAAGCGUGUAGGUGUGUGUCCGAGCAAAUCCGGUUCACUUUAACACUGAGGCGUGAUGACGAGGCACUACGGUGCUGAAGUGAUAAAUGCCCUGCUUCCGGAAAAGCCUCUAAGCAUCAGGUAACACGAAAUCGUACCCCAAACCGACACAGGUGGUCAGGUAGAGAAUACCAAGGCGCUUGAGAGAACUCGGGUGAAGGAACUAGGCAAAAUGGUGCCGUAACUUCGGGAGAAGGCACGCUGAUAUGUAGGUGAAGUCCCUGCGGACGGAGCUGAAAUCAGUCGAAGAUACCAGCUGGCUGCAACUGUUUAUUAAAAACACAGCACUGUGCAAACACGAAAGUGGACGUAUACGGUGUGACGCCUGCCCGGUGCCGGAAGGUUAAUUGAUGGGGUUAGCGGCAACGCGAAGCUCUUGAUCGAAGCCCCGGUAAACGGCGGCCGUAACUAUAACGGUCCUAAGGUAGCGAAAUUCCUUGUCGGGUAAGUUCCGACCUGCACGAAUGGCGUAAUGAUGGCCGGCUGUCUCCACCCGAGACUCAGUGAAAUUGAACUCGCUGUGAAGAUGCAGUGUACCCGCGGCAAGACGGAAAGACCCCGUGAACCUUUACUAUAGCUUGACACUGAACACUGGUCCUUGAUGUGUAGGAUAGGUGGGAGGCUUUGAAGCGUGGACGCCAGUCUGCGUGGAGCCGUCCUUGAAAUACCACCCUUUAAUGGCUGGUGUUCUAACGUGGACCCGUAAUCCGGGUUGCGGACAGUGUCUGGUGGGUAGUUUGACUGGGGCGGUCUCCUCCCAAAGAGUAACGGAGGAGCACGAAGGUUAGCUAAUCUGGUCGGACAUCAGGAGGUUAGUGCAAUGGCAUAAGCUAGCUUGACUGCGAGAGUGACGGCUCGAGCAGGUGCGAAAGCAGGUCAUAGUGAUCCGGUGGUUCUGAAUGGAAGGGCCAUCGCUCAACGGAUAAAAGGUACUCCGGGGAUAACAGGCUGAUACCGCCCAAGAGUUCAUAUCGACGGCGGUGUUUGGCACCUCGAUGUCGGCUCAUCACAUCCUGGGGCUGAAGUAGGUCCCAAGGGUAUGGCUGUUCGCCAUUUAAAGUGGUACGCGAGCUGGGUUUAGAACGUCGUGAGACAGUUCGGUCCCUAUCUGCCGUGGGCGCUGGAGAAUUGAGGGGCUGCUCCUAGUACGAGAGGACCGGAGUGGACGCAUCACUGGUGUUCGGGUUGUCAUGCCAAUGGCACUGCCCGGUAGCUAAAUGCGGAAGAGAUAAGUGCUGAAAGCAUCUAAGCACGAAACUUGCCCCGAGAUGAGUUCUCCUGAGACUUUAAGUCUCCUGAAGGAACGUUGAAGACGACGACGUUGAUAGGCCGGGUGUGUAAGCGCAGCGAUGCGUUGAGCUAACCGGUACUAAUGAACCGUGAGGCUUAACCUU